rnacentral:rRNA from 1 species
GUGGGGAAUCUUCCGCAAUGGGCGCAAGCCUGACGGAGCAACGCAGCGUGAAUGAAGAAGGCCUUCGGGUCGUAAAGUUCUGUCUUUAGAGAAGAAGUCUCUCUAUGUGAAUAAUGUAGAGAGGUGACGGUACCUAAGGAGGAAGCUCCGGCUAACUACGUGCCAGCAGCCGCGGUAAUACGUAGGGAGCAAGCGUUGUCCGGAAUUACUGGGCGUAAAGGGCGCGUAGGCGGAUAAUUAAGUCAGGUGUGAAAACUCUGGGCUCAACCUGGAGAUUGCACUUGAAACUGGUUAUCUUGAGGGCAGGAGAGGAAAGUGGAAUUCCUAGUGUAGCGGUGAAAUGCGUAGAUAUUAGGAGGAACACCAGUGGCGAAGGCGACUUUCUGGACUGCACCUGACGCUGAGGCGCGAAAGCGUGGGGAGCGAACGGGAUUAGAUACCCGGGUAGUCC